GGCCUCACCCCCAACCGUCGGCCCAGUCGGACGGUUCCGAGGCGUUGCCGGGAGCCGGGCGCGGCUCUGUGUGGACUCGGAGAAACGCGGUUUUGACGAAGUAUAUUAUGGGCAGUACAUCUCUUUUUACAUGAAACAAAUCUUCUUCUUGGAUGACAGUGGGCCGCCAUUUGGCCACAUGGUGCUGGCCUUGGGAGGUUAUUUAGGAGGAUUCGAUGGCAAUUUUUUGUGGAACAGAAUUGGAGCAGGUAAAAGAUAAUUUUCAUUUCCCUUUUAAUGUGCGCAGGUUAGAAUGAAGAGAUUGUGACUUUUGUAAGGAUUAACAACUGUGGCUUUUUUUUUCCUUUCAUACCUAGUCCCACAGAAACUGUGCCUUAUUAAUCUGAGUCCAGAAAAUAAUAAAUUGGUUGGAUACAAAUGAAAGACUUCUGGAAAGUCUGGUUAAAAUCUUACUGUUCAGUUGCAGUCAUUAUUUCAGCCCUUGUCGUUGGUACACGUAUCACAGAGCGUCUGAUUGUGAUGAUCGGUUGUACAUGUGAAUUUUGUCCAUUGCCACAAUGUUUUUGAA
rnacentral:lncRNA from 1 species